AGUCAGAGCCAGACUCUGCCCUGCAGGAGCUCACAACAAGGAAGGAGAGAGACAUGCCAGAAAUAGCUCCAGGACAAGGCAGAUGGGCGGCAUGAGACGGAGCACUCACCCCUACACAUGGCACGGCCUGGACCAGGGUGGGGUCCGCCAUGCAUCGGUGUUCACCCUGUCUCAGCAAUGGAACUCUUUCUCAAACAGAGCCUGGAGGUCUCCAAAGGUCCCUGCAGAGCUGGGUGGGAAGCCCGCUGCCCACUGAUGGUUGCACUUCACCCUGGACCCCGCUGGCACCCAGCGUCUCUUCAGUAGCGGCCAGGUCAGAGGUCCUGAACCCCAGUGUCACCUGUUGGG